CAGUAGCCGCGUAAUACGUAGGGUGCGAGCGUUAGUCGGAAUUACUGGGCGUAAAGCGUGCGCAGGCGGUUUUGUAAGACAGGCGUGAAAUCCCCGGGCUCAACCUGGGAAUGGCGCUUGUGACUGCAAAGCUAGAGUGCGGCAGAGGGGGAUGGAAUUCCGCGUGUAGCAGUGAAAUGCGUAGAUAUGCGGGGGAACACCGAUGGCGAAGGCAAUCCCCUGGGCCUGCACUGACGCUCAUGCACGAGAGCGUGGGGAGCAAACAGGAUUAGAUACCCCCGUAGUCCCUGUCUCUUAUACC
rnacentral:rRNA from 1 species